UGAGGACCAAGGGCUAUGUAUAAU
rnacentral:piRNA from 1 species